rnacentral:rRNA from 1 species
UACGAAGGGGGCGAGCGUUGUUCGGAAUUACUGGGCGUAAAGGGCGCGUAGGCGGCACAGCAAGUCGGGAGUGAAAGCCCGGGGCUCAACCCCCGGAACUGCUUUCGAAACUGCUGAGCUAGAGUACAGAAGGGGCAACCGGAAUUCCCAGUGUAGCGGUGAAAUGCGUAGAUAUUGGGAAGAACACCUGAGGCGAAGGCGGGUUGCUGGGCUGAUACUGACGCUGAGGCGCGAAAGCCAGGGGAGCAAACGGG